rnacentral:rRNA from 1 species
GAGUUUGAUCCUGGCUCAGGAUGAACGCUGGCGGCGUGCCUAACACAUGCAAGUCGAACGGAGCUAUUUAGGAAACUUCCUUCGGGGAGCGGAAUCUUUAGCUUAGUGGCGGACGGGUGAGUAACGCGUGAGCAAUCUGCCUUUGGAUGGGGGAUAACAGCCGGAAACGGCUGCUAAUACCGCAUAAUGCAACGGGACCGCAUGGUCCUGCUGCCAAAGAUUUAUUGUCCAAAGAUGAGCUCGCGUCUGAUUAGCCAGUUGGCGGGGUAACGGCCCACUAAAGCGACGAUCAGUAGCCGGACUGAGAGGUUGAACGGCCACAUUGGGACUGAGACACGGCCCAGACUCCUACGGGAGGCAGCAGUGGGGAAUAUUGCGCAAUGGGGGGAACCCUGACGCAGCAACGCCGCGUGAUUGAAGAAGGCCUUCGGGUUGUAAAGAUCUUUAAUCGGGGACGAAACAUGACGGUACCCGAGGAAUAAGCUCCGGCUAACUACGUGCCAGCAGCCGCGGUAAUACGUAGGGAGCAAGCGUUAUCCGGAUUUACUGGGUGUAAAGGGCGUGUAGGCGGGCCUGCAAGUCAGAAGUGAAAUCUGGGGGCUUAACCCCCAAACUGCUUUUGAAACUGCGGGUCUUGAGUGAU